AUACGGCUCAUCUGUGACGUUACCUACAGAAGAAGGACCGGCUAACUCCGUGCCAGCAGCCGCGGUAAUACGGAGGGUCCGAGCGUUAAUCGGAAUUACUGGGCGUAAAGCGUGCGCAGGCGGUUUGUUAAGCGAGAUGUGAAAGCCCCGGGCUCAACCUGGGAAUUGCAUUUAAAACUGUCCAGCUAGAGUCUUGUAGAGGGGGGUAGAAUUCCAGGUGUAGCGGUGAAAUGCGUAGAGAUCUGGAGGUAAUACCGGUGGCGAAGGCGGCCCCCUGGACAAAGACUGACGCUCAGGUGCGAAAGCGUGGGGAGCAAACAGGAUUAGAUACCCUGGUAGUCCACGCCGUAAACGAUGUCGAUUUGGAGGCUGUGUCCUUGAGACGUGGCUUCCGGAGCUAACGCGUUAAAUCGACCGCCUGGGGAGUACGGCCGCAAGGUU
rnacentral:rRNA from 1 species